CCAGGGACCGACGGGGAAGUUUCUAAGAUUUCAUCAUUCCACACAACGCCUCCGGAGAGCGCCUUGGCGGGGAAGGCGGCGCAGCUGUCACAGGUAUCUAAAUGUAUUUCAAAGAUGAGUUCAGCCUAAACGACUUCAGAAAUGCCACCUACAAAUACAGAGAUACUCAGCAGAUCGGUUAAAACAAGUGCUCAGAUACAGUGAGUGAUGUCUGUGGCUCUGUUCAGUGCAGAACUCCAGCUGGACAGGGCAUGUUGCUGAUGUCCUGUGUGUACUCCUUGUGUCACCACUCAAGCUGCUUACAGCUGAAAAGGGUGGUUCCCACCUUUCCCUUUGUGAACCAAGUCCUGCCCUCUGAAAAAGGUACACCUCGUGCAACUGACUUCCACAUUAACUCAGACCAGGGAGGGCAAAGGGGAAGUUCAUGGUUUCAAAAAAAGCCUCAGAAUUUACAAAGCAGCUGCCAAUUAGUCAGACCUUAAUUUUGCAAAUUUAUUUAGGAAAAAAAAAAAAUUAACAUGAGCAAAUGAGAAUACUUCAGUGUUACAACAGAGUAUAUAAAUGUCUAGCAAUAGUCAAAUAAUUUGAUCUUUAAAUACAAAAUAACCACAUGAACACCUAAUAUACAGGUUUCAUCUGAAUACAUAUUUAUUAGAUAAAUAUUAGGUUGUCACAUCAUCUAACUACAUACAGUUUUGCAAGACUAAAAAUCACAAUUAUUUUUUCUGACCAGUUUAAAGUAUGAAAUGAUUGCAUUGUACUGUACAUACAAUGUACAAACAAAGACAAUGGCCAUUUUUGCAUGUUACCUCAGAUUGUACUUUUUUUUUUUUUUAAUUCUCCUCUGAUCGUGAUAUCAAAAAUUGUACAAAGUAUGAAUUUGGUUACAAUUUUCUUUUUUUUUUUAAUCCCCGUAUUUUUCUUCAUUAUUUCUGUAGCACCCUAAAAAUACACAGGUGAUAGACUAGUACACGUAAGCUAAAUAUUACAUGUAGAUAAAACAAAACAAAACAAAGGGUCAGAGUAUAUUACAGAAGUGAAAGUGGAACAAAUGCUGAGACUCCACAAACGCUAACAAACAGGAUUCAUUUUCCACAUAAGAUGGAGCUUCAAGCUUUUUUUUAUUUUUUUCCUGCGAAAUAAAAACAAUGCACAUUCCA
rnacentral:lncRNA from 1 species